GGGUCCCUAGCUCAACUGGCAGAGCACCGGGCUUUUAACCCGUUGGUUGUGGGUUCGAGUCCCACGGGACCCACCA
rnacentral:tRNA from 1 species